CCUACGGGAGGCAGCAGUGAGGAAUAUUGGUCAAUGGACGAGAGUCUGAACCAGCCAAGUAGCGUGAAGGAUGACUGCCCUAUGGGUUGUAAACUUCUUUUAUAUGGGAAUAAAACGUUCCACGUGUGGGAUUUUGUAUGUACCAUAUGAAUGAGGAUCGGCUAACUCCGUGCCAGCAGCCGCGGUAAUACGGAGGAUCCGAGCGUUAUCCGGAUUUAUUGGGUUUAAAGGGAGCGUAGGUGGAUUGUUAAGUCAGUUGUGAAAGUUUGCGGCUCAACCGUAAAAUUGCAGUUGAAACUGGCAGUCUUGAGUACAGUAGAGGUGUGCGGAAUUCGUGGUGUAGCGGUGAAAUGCUUAGAUAUCACGAAGAACUCCGAUUGCGAAGGCAGUUCACUGGACUGCAACUGACACUGAGGCUCGAAAGUGUGGGUAUCAAACAGGAUUAGAUACCCCAGUAGUC
rnacentral:rRNA from 1 species